GAUUCAUAAUAACUUAACGAAUCGCAUGGCCUUGCGCCGGGCGAUGGUUCAUUCAAAUUUCUGCCCUAUCAACUUUCGAUGGUAAGAUAGUGGCUUACCAUGGUCUCAACGGGUAACGGGGAAUUAGGGUUCUAUUCCGGAGAGGGAGCCUGAGAAACGGCUACCACAUCCAAGGAAGGCAGCAGGCGCGCAAAUUACCCAAUCCCAAUUCGGGGAGGUAGUGACAAUAAAUACUGAUACGGGGCUCUUUCGGGUCUCGUAAUUGGAAUGAGUACAAUCUAAAUCCCUUAACGAGGAACAAUUGGAGGGCAAGUCUGGUGCCAGCAGCCGCGGUAAUUCCAGCUCCAAUAGCGUAUAUUAAAGUUGUUGCCGUUAAAAAGCUCGUAGUUGAACCUUGGACCUGGCUGAUCUGUCCUCCUAAUCGAGCGCACGGAUUCGGUCGGGUCUUUCCUUCUGGGGAGCCCUAUGCCCUUCACUGGGUGUAGUGGGGAACCAGGACUUUUAC
rnacentral:rRNA from 1 species